ACGAACGCUGGCGGCAGGCCUAACACAUGCAAGUCGAGCGGACAUCUUCGGAUGUUAGCGGCGGACGGGUGAGUAACGCGUGGGAACGUGCCCUUUGCUUCGGAAUAGCCUCGGGAAACUGGGAGUAAUACCGGAUGUACCCUUUGGGGGAAAGAUUUAUCGGCAAAGGAUCGGCCCGCGUUGGAUUAGGUAGUUGGUGGGGUAAUGGCCUACCAAGCCGACGAUCCAUAGCUGGUUUGAGAGGAUGAUCAGCCACACUGGGACUGAGACACGGCCCAGACUCCUACGGGAGGCAGCAGUGGGGAAUCUUAGACAAUGGGGGAAACCCUGAUCUAGCCAUGCCGCGUGAGCGAUGAAGGCCUUAGGGUUGUAAAGCUCUUUCACCGGGGAAGAUAAUGACGGUACCCGGAGAAGAAGCCCCGGCUAACUCCGUG
rnacentral:rRNA from 1 species